ACAUCCAGAGAACUUAGCAGAGAUGCUUUGGUGCCUUCGGGAACUCUGAGACAGGUGCUGCAUGGCUGUCGUCAGCUCGUGUUGUGAAAUGUUGGGUUAAGUCCCGCAACGAGCGCAACCCCUAUCCUUUGUUGCCAGCGAUUCGGUCGGGAACUCAAAGGAGACUGCCGGUGAUAAACCGGAGGAAGGUGGGGAUGACGUCAAGUCAUCAUGGCCCCUACGAGUAGGGCUACACACGUGCUACAAUGGCGCAUACAAAGAGAAGCGACCUCGCGAGAGCAAGCGGACCUCAUAAAGUGCGUCGUAGUCCGGAUUGGAGUCUGCAACUCGACUCCAUGAAGUCGGAAUCGCUAGUAAUCGUAGAUCAGAAUGCUACGGUGAAUACGUUCCCGGGCCUUGUACACACCGCCCGUCACACCAUGGGAGUGGGUUGCAAAAGAAGUAGAUAGCUUAACCUUCGGGAGGGCGUUUACCACUUUGUGAUUCGUGACUGGGGUGAAGUCGUAACAAGGUAAGCGUAGCGAG
rnacentral:rRNA from 1 species